rnacentral:lncRNA from 1 species
CAAGUUGAUGAUGGCCUAUUGAGGGGAUCAUGGAGGCCUGGUGAUGCUUCCCUAAUUUCCUGUGUACUUUGUUUACUGGAUAUGACAUUAGAAUUUCAUGAAUCUCUUCACUGUACCAGUGAAGUACUGAGUUUGUCACUUGUGCCAUUUUUCUUAACUGGGAAGGAAAAAAAUAAUACACUCCUAAGGUUGAAAUGGACCAAAAAUUAG